CUCUCUCUCUCUCCCCUCCCCCCUUCCUCUCGCUUUCUCUAUCUCUCUCUCCCGCUGCUUCCUUGGUUUAGUGUUGCCUGUGUUGUGCCCGAAAGCAGUGUUGUAGAUUUUAUUGCGCUGUGCCCGUAAUCAUUGAGUGACCGCCCUGUGCGUGUGUUGCCGCGUCAGGAAGGGAGUGUUGCGUCUCCAGGCACCUCCCGCCUCACGCCUUGCUUCCUCCCGUCUCCCAGAGUCUACACACCUGCACUCUUGAGGAGUUAGCAGCCAACGGCGUUAGGUUGCCAGGUGGACGAGUCGGGCCAAGUGGUGUCAACGUGAGGGCAGUGUAGCUGAUCGUGUGGAAAGUGCGGUGCCAACUCCACUGGUUCUAAUUACAAGUCUGACUGUAGUGCCAGACUGGAGCAACAAAUAUGCCCAUUGGAUCGAGAAUGUGUAGUGCACUGAUGUGGGUAAUGUGAACUGGAAAUAUAAAUAAGGAUUGAGACAAAAUGGUAUAUUAUGUUCCUUGUUACGUGGCACGUCUUCCUAUAAUCUCCGGCUACUCCUAGUUACGAGUAGAUGCCUGCCUUUCAGUGUGGUCAACGCCACGACACACCAGGUUUCCUUUAACAUUCUCUCUCUCUCUCUCUCUCUCUCUCUCUCUCUCUCUCUCUCUCUCUCUCUCUCUCUCUCUCUCUCUCUCUCUCUCUGUAAAACAAUAUAAAAAUCGAUAACAGCAACAACAGCAACAACAACAACCCCAGCUCCACACCAUCUGGUUCACCACCACCACAGCCCCAACACAACAGCAACACAACCACAGCCGUUAACACCUGUACCACCACCACCACCACCACAGCCCCAACACAACAGCAACACAACCACAGCCAUUAACACCUGUACCACCACCACCACCACCACAGCCCCAACACAACAGCAACACAACCACAGCCAUUAACUCCUGUACCACCACCACCACCACCACAACACAAAGUACAAAACAAACUCGUGCAGGAAAUUAAAUCUGAAUUGUGAUCUAAUUUAUAUAGUUUUUCCUCUACUUUAUUUCCUCUUUCGUAUUUCCUCUUUCGUAACAAAUCGCUACUGUGCUUUUUUUUGUUUUUAUCUCUUCUUUUUCCUACUACUUCCUCUUCUUCCAUUUUCCACCUACUCCUUCCUUCUGCCCAAUUUAUUCACGUGGAUUCUCCCCUUUUUUUCCCCCUUUUUCAUUCACUAUCAUUCAUUUCCUUCUUCCUUUUCAUAAUGAACACGUUUUCGCUUCCACUCAAUGCCUCUUUCCCUUUUACACAUCCAUUGUUAUUCAUUAUUUUCCUUUCUCUCAUCGAUUCUCUCCUUCCCUCUUCUUCUUUCAUUCUUUCUUUCUUUCUUCACUGCAAUUCCUUCCUUCCUUUUCCUUACAUUCAUUCAUUCUUGUUUUCCUCUCCACAUUAGCGCCUUCCUUCCCUCCUCCAUACUCCUUCGCUUUCCUUCCUUUCUCCUGCAUCUUUCUCUCUCUUGCACCCUUUCAUUCGUUUCUCUUGCCCAGUCUCACACUACAUAUUCCCUCUUUUUCACCUCAUUCCUUCCUUCCUCUCUUCUUUCCUCUACAUUCUUUUACUCCUUUCCUUGCUUUACACUCCUUCCUCCUAUUACC